rnacentral:rRNA from 1 species
GGAGCUAUUGGCUUUGAAUUGUAUUGUGGAAAUGUAUUACCAACAGAGGUGCAGGUGCCAGCCUAUUGAAAUAAAGCGUCAAUGAGGGUGAGAAUCCUGUUUGUCAUGUGCAGCCCUUUGUGCACGGUGUAUAUUUGCUGAGUCACACUCCUUGGCAUUGGAAUGCAAAGUGGGUGGUAAGUUUCAUGUAAAGGUAAACAUGCAAUUGAGACUGAUAGCACACAAGUACCAUGAGGGAAAUAUGAAAAGGACUUUGAAAAGAGAAUUAAAUGAGUUUGUAUUUGCUGAACACAAAGUAAACAGACUUGAUUUGCUUGGUGGGAGUGUUGCACUUGCUUGACAAGAGCUUUGGGCUGUGGGUGUAAUGAUUCUUUCUUUGCAUGCCAGUUUCUAUUUGUACAUCUGAUUACCUUUGCACAUGAAUGAUAAGUCUCCUGUGGGGGGUGGAUUGCAUGUGCAUGUAAUGAUUUGUGUUUUGAUAAAUGUGUCUGGUGUAUGUGUGUGUUCCUGUGCUUGGGGAUGCUUCCUUCCUUGGACUUACAAGCCCUGACACACACAUGCUGGCAAAAUGCUUCUGCUUGACCCGUCUUGAAACACGGACCAAGGAGUCUAACAGAUGUGCAAAGUUUGAAGGUGGUAUACCUUUGUGUGCAAUGAAAGUGUCAGCUGGGAUAUGUGCACCAGCACCCAAUUAAUUAGCGGACAGAGGUUUGAGUUGGAGCAUAUCUAUUAGGACCCGAAAGAUGGUGAACUAUGCCUGAACAGAAUGAAUUCAGAGGAAACUCUGAUGGAGGUUCGUAUCGAUACUGACGUGCAAAUCGUUCGUCAUAUUUGGGUAUAGGGGCGAAAGACUAAUCGAACCAUCUAGUAGCUGGUUCCCUCCGAAGUUUCCCUCAGGAUAGCUGGAGUUGCUCAGUUUUAUCAGGUAAAGCGAAUGAUUAGAGGAAUUGGGGACAGGUUUGUCUUUGACCUAUUCUCAAACUUUAAAUGGGUAAUAUGUAGUGGUUGCUGUAUGGAACUUCUAAGAUAAAUGGCAAUAUUGGGUGGGCCAUUUUUGGUAAGCAGAACUGGCGAUGAGGGAUGAACCUAAUGU